rnacentral:tRNA from 1 species
ACCAGCCUGGCAUAGUGGUUUGAGUGUUGGACUACAACGCUAGAGACCAGGGUUUGAUUCCCAGCUCUGCCA